GAUGAACGCUGGCGGCGUGCCUAAUACAUGCAAGUCGAGCGAACAGACGAGGAGCUUGCUCCUUCGACGUUAGCGGCGGACGGGUGAGUAACACGUAGGUAACCUACCUAUAAGACUGGGAUAACUUCGGGAAACCGGAGCUAAUACCGGAUAAUAUUUCGAACCGCAUGGUUCGAUAGUGAAAGAUGGCUUUGCUAUCACUUAUAGAUGGACCUGCGCCGUAUUAGCUAGUUGGUAAGGUAACGGCUUACCAAGGCAACGAUACGUAGCCGACCUGAGAGGGGGACGGCCACACUGGAACUGAGACACGGUCCAGACUCCUACGGGAGGCAGCAGUAGGGAAUCUUCCGCAAUGGGCGAAAGCCUGACGGAGCAACGCCGCGUGAGUGAUGAAGGUCUUCGGAUCGUAAAACUCUGUUAUUAGGGAAGAACAAACGUGUAAGUAACUGUGCACGUCUUGACGGUACCUAAUCAGAAAGCCACGGCUAACUACGUG
rnacentral:rRNA from 1 species